UUAAGUGAAUAAGGGCGCACGGUGGAUGCCUUGGCACUAGGAGCCGAUGAAGGACGGGACUAACACCGAUAUGCUUUGGGGAGCUGUACGUAAGCUAUGAUCCAGAGAUUUCCGAAUGGGGGAACCCAACAUCUUUAAUAGGAUGUUACGAUUGUGUGAAUACAUAGCACAUUCGAGGUAGACGCAGAGAACUGAAACAUCUAAGUACCUGCAGGAAGAGAAAGAAAAUUCGAUUCCCUGAGUAGCGGCGAGCGAAACGGGAAAAGCCCAAACCAGCAAGCUUGCUUGUUGGGGUUGUAGGACUCCAAUAUGGUAGUUCUUUCAGAUAGUCGAAUGACUUGGAAAAGUCAGUCAAAGAGGGUAAAAACCCCGUAGACGAAAUGUGGAAGACACCUAGGAGGAUCCUGAGUACGGCGGAACACGAGAAAUUCCGUCGGAAUCCGGGAGGACCAUCUCCCAAGGCUAAAUACUCCCUAGUGACCGAUAGUGAACCAGUACCGUGAGGGAAAGGUGAAAAGCACCCCGGAAGGGGAGUGAAAUAGAACCUGAAACCGUGUGCCUACAACAAGUCAAAGCCCGUUAAUGGGUGAUGGCGUGCCUUUUGUAGAAUGAACCGGCGAGUUACGAUUGCAUGCGAGGUUAAGUUGAAGAGACGGAGCCGCAGCGAAAGCGAGUCUGAAUAGGGCGUUUGAGUAUGUAGUCGUAGACCCGAAACCAUGUGAUCUACCCAUGUCCAGGUUGAAGGUGCGGUAAAACGCACUGGAGGACCGAACCCACGUACGUUGAAAAGUGCGGGGAUGAGGUGUGGGUAGCGGAGAAAUUCCAAACGAACUUGGAGAUAGCUGGUUCUCUCCGAAAUAGCUUUAGGGCUAGCCUCGGAAUUGAGAAUGAUGGAGGUAGAGCACUGUUUGGACUAGGGGCCCAUCUCGGGUUACCGAAUUCAGAUAAACUCCGAAUGCCAUUCAUUCAUAUCCGGGAGUCAGACUGUGAGUGAUAAGAUCCAUAGUCGAAAGGGAAACAGCCCAGACCACCAGCUAAGGUCCCAAAAUAUAUGUUAAGUGGAAAAGGAUGUGGGGUUGCACAGACAACUAGGAUGUUGGCUUAGAAGCAGCCACCAUUUAAAGAGUGCGUAAUAGCUCACUAGUCGAGUGACCCUGCGCCGAAAAUGUACCGGGGCUAAACAUAUUACCGAAGCUGUGGAGUACACCUUUAGGUGUAUUGGUAGGAGAGCGUUCUAAGGGCGUUGAAGGCAGAUCGUGAGGACUGCUGGAGCGCUUAGAAGUGAGAAUGCCGGUAUGAGUAGCGAAAGACAGGUGAGAAUCCUGUCCACCGAAUGACUAAGGUUUCCUGGGGAAGGCUCGUCCGCUCAGGGUUAGUCGGGACCUAAGCCGAGGCCGACAGGCGUAGGCGAUGGAUAACAGGUUGAUAUUCCUGUACCCGUUGUUUUUGUUUGAGCAAUGGAGGGACGCAGGAGGCUAAGGAAUGCAGACGAUCGGAAAUGUCUGUCCAAGCAGUAAGUCUGAAGAGGAGUCAAAUGCUUCUUUUCUUAAGGACAAGCUGUGAUGGGGAGGGAAAUAAUAGUACCGAAGUUCCUGAUGUCACACUGCCGAGAAAAGCUUCUAGUGAGAAAACAGCGGCCCGUACCGCAAACCGACACAGGUAGUCGAGGAGAGAAUCCUAAGGUGAGCGAGAGAACUCUCGUUAAGGAACUCGGCAAAAUGACCCCGUAACUUCGGGAGAAGGGGUGCUGAUCAUACGAUCAGCCGCAGUGAAUAGGCCCAAGCGACUGUUUAUCAAAAACACAGGUCUCUGCAAAAUCGUAAGAUGAAGUAUAGGGGCUGACGCCUGCCCGGUGCUGGAAGGUUAAGAGGAGUGCUUAGCGCAAGCGAAGGUACGAAUUGAAGCCCCAGUAAACGGCGGCCGUAACUAUAACGGUCCUAAGGUAGCGAAAUUCCUUGUCGGGUAAGUUCCGACCCGCACGAAAGGCGUAACGAUUUGGGCACUGUCUCAACGAGAGACUCGGUGAAAUUUUAGUACCUGUGAAGAUGCAGGUUACCCGCGACAGGACGGAAAGACCCCAUGGAGCUUUACUGUAGUUUGAUAUUGAGUGUCUGUACCGCAUGUACAGGAUAGGUAGGAGCCGUAGAAAUCGGAACGCUAGUUUCGAUGGAGGCGCUGGUGGGAUACUACCCCUGCGUUAUGGCCACUCUAACCCGCACCACUAAUCGUGGUGGGAGACAGUGUCAGAUGGGCAGUUUGACUGGGGCGGUCGCCUCCUAAAAGGUAACGGAGGCGCCCAAAGGUUCCCUCAGAAUGGUUGGAAAUCAUUCGAAGAGUGUAAAGGCAGAAGGGAGCUUGACUGCGAGACCAACAAGUCGAGCAGGGACGAAAGUCGGGCUUAGUGAUCCGGUGGUUCCGCAUGGAAGGGCCAUCGCUCAACGGAUAAAAGCUACCCUGGGGAUAACAGGCUUAUCUCCCCCAAGAGUCCACAUCGACGGGGAGGUUUGGCACCUCGAUGUCGGCUCGUCGCAUCCUGGGGCUGUAGUCGGUCCCAAGGGUUGGGCUGUUCGCCCAUUAAAGCGGCACGCGAGCUGGGUUCAGAACGUCGUGAGACAGUUCGGUCCCUAUCCGUCGCGGGCGUUGGAAAUUUGAGAGGAGCUGUCCUUAGUACGAGAGGACCGGGAUGGACUUACCGCUGGUGUACCAGUUGUUCUGCCAAGGGCAUUGCUGGGUAGCUAUGUAGGGAAGGGAUAAACGCUGAAAGCAUCUAAGUGUGAAGCCCACCUCAAGAUGAGAUUUCCCAUUUCUUUAAGAAAGUAAGAUCCCUGAGAGAUGAUCAGGUAGAUAGGUCAGGAGUGGAAGUACAGUGAUGUAUGGAGCGGACUGAUACUAAUCGAUCGAGGACUUAACCAA
rnacentral:rRNA from 1 species